UGAUUUUGAAUCAGUAUAAUACAGAUGAAUUAAAUAAUUUCAUCAUUUAAAUUAUAAACAUAAUCAUCACAAAACGGAAGAGAAUUUUAAUUCUUACAAAUUAAAAAAGUUAUCAGUUAAUGACUGUGCAAGUCUGUAAUUCUGCGGGUGCAGUACCUUUUUUAUACACAGAGAGAGCAUCGAAAUUAUAAUUUGAACCAGUUUAUAAAUGUACGAUUGCGUACUGCACUAAAGCGCGCGCGGCGCGCGCUGAGUGUCAUCCAGCCAGGCCAGCUGGCCAGCACUGCACUGGCGCCCAAGCACGCCGCGCCGCUGCGUCACAGCGGAAAAAAGGUUUUGUCCCGGCCGAAACUGCCGGGUGACCGACCAACCAUACUCCGUACCAACUACCAUCCUGCAGUUUUUACUUCUUCUGGAAACAGUACAGUCCACCGUCUGGUAAUUGUCGUACUGGUACUUCGUCUUACAAAUCGGGAAAACAGGAGUAGGCCUACAGGACGAUGUAAUUAUAGAAUUUAAUGUUGUUUCAAGAACUACCUGAAUCAGCUGUAACACAGACAGUGUUUAGCGUCUUGAGACCAAAUAAUGUUGAAGCUGACAGCGGGAACUAUUUCAGGUCUGCAAGCUGAUUCUUAGUGAUUCAUCAGGUAUGACGGUGCUUAUCAGAGGUUAAUACCGAAAGAAAGACUGAGAAAGGUUCCACUUAAAGCCAAACAUAGAGGAACCAUUUCUUUGGGUUGCUGUUCCCAAGGGCCAAUUACCUCAUGUUCAUCAAGAGGUCACUGCUACAUAUUAACGCUGGUAGACAAUACUGCUACAGUAGCAGAAAUAUUGUAGAGCAUCUACUCAAGGCAAGGAUUUCCUCAUAAAUGCUUGCUGAUAGAGGAACUCCAAUUACCUCAGAGGUAAUGAAGGAAGUUAGCCGACUUUUUUCAAUCCGUAUCAUCCACAGUGUUAGUCCAGGCCUGCCAGCCGCUGUGCAGCGCCAGAUCGACGAGGCUCCAUCCCUUUGAUUGUUGAACGCCAAACUGGGUAGCAGCAACUUCCAUCUUUUAAUGUCUUUUCAUCCAACACGGCUGGGGUUUAAACUUUCGACCCCCCCGGUUGUGAGACAGAUGCUCUACCAACUGACCCAACACACCGGUAGGGAAGGCGGGGUAAGUUGAGCCACCAUCCCCAGGCCAAUAAUGAAUGAGUCAGA
rnacentral:lncRNA from 1 species